GACGAACGCUGGCGGCGUGCUUAACACAUGCAAGUCGAACGGUGAAGCGCCUUCCUUUUUGGUGGGUGUGGAUGAGUGGCGAACGGGUGAGUAACACGUGAGUAACCUGCCCCCUUCUUCUGGAUAACCGCAUGAAAGUGUGGCUAAUACGGGAUAUUCUGGGUCUGUCGCAUGAUGGGUCUGGGAAAGAUAUUGUUUCGGUGGGGGAUGGGCUCGCGGCCUAUCAGCUUGUUGGUGGGGUGAUGGCCUACCAAGGCGGUGACGGGUAGCCGGCCUGAGAGGGUGGCCGGUCACACUGGGACUGAGACACGGCCCAGACUCCUACGGGAGGCAGCAGUGGGGAAUAGGGCACAAUGGGGGAAAGCCUGAUGCAGCGACGCCGCGGGAGGGAUGGAGGCCUUCGGGUUGUGAACCUCUUUCGCCAGUGAAGCAGGCCUGCCUCGUUUGUGGGUGGGUUGACGGUAGCUGGAUAAGAAGCGCCGGCUAACUACGUG
rnacentral:rRNA from 1 species